AGAGAAAGACGACUGAAUUUGAAGAAAUUCAACACAAAAUGUGUUUUACUUAUGCUGUCCAUCUUAUUUAUAUAUUCUAUCGUUAGAGUCUCGUAGCUCAGCUGGUUAGAGCGCUACACUGAUAAUGUAGAGGUCGGCAGUUCGAGCCUGCCCGAGACUACUUUUAUGAUAGAGAUUUAUGGAAAUUUAGAGGCUGGGAAACUUUUAUUUUUUUCCAUUCUAAAUUUUUUAAGAAUGGGGGAUUAGCUCAGCUGGCUAGAGCGCCUGCCUUGCACGCAGGAGGUCAUCGGUUCGACUCCGAUAUUCUCCACUAAGGUUUUUUAAACCGCACGUUCAUUGACAUAUUGAAUUAUUUAAGAUACAUAAAAAUAAAAGGUAUAAAUUAUUAAUCGAGCCGAUUAAUAGUUUGUACGAGCAAAGUAAAAAUUACAAUUUUAAGAGAAAGUAAAGUUAC
rnacentral:tRNA from 1 species